rnacentral:lncRNA from 1 species
AAGAAAAUCUGGGCCCGGCAUGGUCACUCAGCUCCUGUAAUCCCAGGGUUUGGGAAGAGAAAGUAGGACUAGCAUCUCAAGGACAACCUGGGCUACAUAGGGAGUUUGAGACUAGCUUGAGCUAUAUGAGAUCCUGCCUCAAAACAGCAACAAAAAGCUGGGGUGGUGGUACACACCUGUAAUCCUGGAAUUUGGGGAGUAGAGGAUUAUCUCCUUCUCAGUUUUGAUGUGAACUGCUCUCCUCCGACACUGUACCAAUCAAAGAUGAUACCCGGCCCUCAUCUUUUACUCAGAGCAAAAUGGAAUGUUACUAAGAGAAAUUAACUGGGUAUUUUGUUAGACAGGACCCGUGUAAAGCUUCAACUGCGAUCCCGGUAUGAGGGAUGAAGGAAGCAGAGACAGGAGACUCCCCGGCUCAUUGGAGUAUCUAAAAUCUGGAACUUCCCAAGUUAGCCCCUGCUCACCCAAAUGGCUGCCACAGGAUUCAAAAAGGCGACAGGCUCCGGGCAAUGAGCUCAAGUUGGCAAGAGAUGAGCCUUUAGCAGAUGCUGGAAGUCAGGAUCUCAGAUGCUGGAGCCACCAACGAAAAACUGUACCCUUCACGGUGCCUGUCAGCGUUGGGCAAAAGGCUGAGAAGGAAGGGCUGGCUGUACGUCUUGGGAUGGGGGUCCAAACCCCUUUCAGCCACUGUCUGCAGUGUCCGCAGCCUCCACCCCUGGUCUGCUUCCUCCGAACCACUCCGGGGUGGUUUGGCAAGAAUAUCGUCUGAGAAUACUGACCUGGUGUAUUUGUUCUGUUAUAACUAAAUACCUGAGACUGAAUAAUCUAUAAUAAAAAG